UACGUAGGGCGCAAGCGUUAUCCGGAAUCAUUGGGCGUAAAGAGCGCGUAGGCGGCCCUGUAAGUCCGCUGUGAAAGUCAAGGGCUCAACCCUUGGAUGCCGGUGGAUACUGCAGGGCUAGAGUCCGGAAGAGGCGAGUGGAAUUCCUGGUGUAGCGGUGAAAUGCGCAGAUAUCAGGAGGAACACCGAUGGCGAAGGCAGCUCGCUGGGACGGUACUGACGCUGAGGCGCGAAAGCGUGGGGAGCAAACAGG
rnacentral:rRNA from 1 species